GUUUUUCUCUGUCGUAUCGAUAUGGCCGUUUCAACAAGUCAGAAGAUCACCUUGAUCUCUUGCAUCGUCCUCUGUAUGUCUUUAUUCCUACCCAAAUUAUUUUUACCCAGAGUGAAGAAAGAAACAGCGCAGUCGAAGGGUAAGAUGAGACAAAAAUGUAAUCCUUCGUCAUCCCUCAUUUAGUGUUUCAGUAAUGUCAGUGCUGAUUUGACCAUCCCUGUGAUCUCUGUGCUCAGGUCCCCUGUUAACCUCUACCAGCUCCCCGUGUGUGGCUUCAUAAUUUGGACCAGGACAUUUUCCUCCCCCACGACACAGACAUUCAUUCUCUGAAGAUCAUGAUCACUGGGACACAGACUCUCAUUACAUCAAGCAUUACAACCCAGAGGCCAUUGCCAGAGCCAAAGGUGUUGGCAAGCCGAAUCUCCUGGGCCAGGUCAUCCCCGUCUAUGGCUUUGGGAUUUUCCUUUAUAUCAUCUACUUGUUCUUUAAAGUGAGUCUUAUCAGAAGCUAUUUGGAAAACGGCUCCGUUCAGCAGCUCUCCUCUGACCUCUAAGGACAAACCUCAUCGACAAGGGUGCAGAUUCCCUAUGCUGCAGUCAGAAUACACAUUUGAAGAUAUGCCUACUUGUCAGCUGGUGCAGAUGCAGGCCAGAAUGAGUGAAAAAGCCAGAGAAAAGAGAAUAUCUAAAGUUGUCCACCCAUCUGCCAGGUCACGCAGGGGCACACGGAGGCGUGAAGAGAGAAAGCUCAAACAGUUGAAGGAGAUAACCCAAAUGAUGCGGGAGAGACAGUUACGAGAGGAAGCUUCGCCAGAGGAGGAAGCCGAGGAGGCCCCCUACACUGUAGACUGGGAAGGUAUACUUCAAGGCUUUGUGUUGGGUCCGCUGUUGUUUCUUGGUCCUUGAAUUAAAUUUUAUUCACUGCUUCCCAAGGUUAUCCAGACGAGACCUACCCAGAGUAUGACAUUACCUCCCGUAGACGCAGAUUUCCUAGUGUUAUACUUGAAGAACCAGACCAAGUCAUACCCACAGCAGAGGAGCUUGCUGAGAGAAUGGAGAAGGAAGAAGAGGAGGAGGAAGAUGAGCCUGAUGAUGCGUGUACUAAUGAGGAAGUAAGUGGAGAAUAAUGAAGGAGAAAAAGAAGAUGACGACAAAGAAGAAGAAGAAGAGGAAUAUGAAGAGGAGGAGGAGGAGGAAGAUGAAGAUGAGGAGGAGGAUGAGGACGAGAUUAGAGAAGACCAGCCCUGUCUUCCUAAAAGUAUUGAUGUGGAUGAUGAGAAACUUGAGUACACAGGUGAAAACAAAGAGGAAAAGAAACCAAGCAGGAGAAGACGACAAAUCACCUUUAGCGAUCACAGACACGUCUUUCAUUAUCCAAAGGGUGGAGCUGUUGGCUGCAAGUAUGAGGAAGAGGAGGAAGAAGAACAUGAUGGAGAAGAAGAGGAGGAGGAGGAGGAUGGUGAAGGGAAUGAAGAGGAAGAAAAUGGGGAUGAUGAAGACUGUGAAGAAGAAGAGGAAGAUCAGCAUAAUGAAGACGGGCAGAGUGAGACGGAAAAGGAGGAGGAGGAUCCGCUGAUGGAGGCUGAGAGCCUGGGAUUUAAUGAUGAAGUGGAAUGUGAAUCUGAGGAACAGGAAGUAGGCCUCAUUGACUUCCUACAAACAUACCAACCUGAGGUAACCCUCAUCUCCAACAAGUCAGAGUCUACCAAAGCUCAAGCCUCUGGGACUCUUCGAAUGCGUCACAAGAAACAGAAGGUGAAGAAGUGACCAGCCUGUUAAAAUAUAUAUAUAUAUAUAUAUAUAUAUAUAUAUAGUCUUGUGUUCGUUUACCCUCUAGUUCAAACAUACCUUACUAUGAAUCUUUCUUGCUUUGCUUAAGGAAACUUUUCUGAGAUUUCAUUAAUCUGUUUCCAAGAACAGCUAGAGAACAUUUUAGAGUAUGUUGUGUCAAAAUUUUUCCAAAGAAAGUCUUUGCCAAUAAAACAUUUC
ensembl:lncRNA